rnacentral:rRNA from 1 species
GUGCACGCUGGCGGUAGGCCUAACACAUGCAAGUCGAACGGCAGCACAGUAAGAGCUUGCUCUUACGGGUGGCGAGUGGCGGACGGGUGGGGAAUACAUCGGAAUCUACUUUUUCGUGGGGGAUAACGUAGGGAAACUUACGCUAAUACCGCAUACGACCUACGGGUGAAAGCAGGGGAUCUUCGGACCUUGCGCGAUUGAAUGAGCCGAUGUCGGAUUAGCUAGUUGGCGGGGUAAAGGCCCACCAAGGCGACGAUCCGUAGCUGGUCUGAGAGGAUGAUCAGCCACACUGGAACUGAGACACGGUCCAGACUCCUACGGGAGGCAGCAGUGGGGAAUAUUGGACAAUGGGCGCAAGCCUGAUCCAGCCAUACCGCGUGGGUGAAGAAGGCCUUCGGGUUGUAAAGCCCUUUUGUUGGGAAAGAAAAGCAGCAGGUUAAUACCCCGCUGUUCUGACGGUACCCAAAGAAUAAGCACCGGCUAACUUCGUG